rnacentral:rRNA from 1 species
AACGCGAAAGUUCCCUUCGGGGGACGAGUAGAGUGGCGCUCGGGUGAGUAACACGUAGGUAAUCUGCCUUCGGGUGGGGAAUAACAGCCGGAAACGGCUGCUAAUACCGCAUAAUGCAGCGGCACCACAUGGUGACAGUUGUUAAAGCGGGGGAUCGUAAGACCUCACGCCUAGAGAGGAGCCUGCGGCGGAUUAGCUAGUUGGCAGGGUAACGGCCUACCAAGGCAACGAUCCGUAGCCGGCCUGAGAGGGCGGUCGGCCACACUGGCACUGACACACGGGCCAGACUCCUACGGGAGGCAGCAGUCGGGAAUUUUGGGCAAUGGGCGAAAGCCUGACCCAGCAACGCCGCGUGAAGGAUGAAGCUUUUCGGAGUGUAAACUUCAUAAGAAUGGGACGAAUAAGGAAGGGCUAAUACCCCUUUUGAUGACGGUACCAUUUGUAAGCUCCGGCUAACUCCGUGCCAGCAGCCGCGGUAAUACGGGGGGAGCAAGCGUUGUUCGGAUUUACUGGGCGUAAAGGGCGCGUAGGCGGCGCAACAAGUCACUUGUGAAAUCUCCGGGCUUAACCCGGAGCGGCCAAGUGAUACUGUCGUGCUAGAGUGCGGAAGGGGCUACUGGAAUUCUCGGUGUAGCGGUGAAAUGCGUAGAUAUCGAGAGGAACACCUGCGGCGAAGGCGGGUAGCUGGGCCGACACUGACGCUGAGGCGCGAAAGCCAGGGGAGCGAACGGGAUUAGAUACCCCGGUAGUCCUG